CCCCGACUGUGACUGUGGUGGUUCUCCAGGAGAUUAUGAAGGCUGCGUGUCCUAGGUGGUUAGAGGUUGGAGUUUUCACCUUGGUAUUCUAACCACCCAGUAAUGGGGACUUCCCCUCCUUGCCUUUGGUUCUUUUUAAUCGACCACCUAUCCGGACCAGAUUGCCUUGUAACUCUCUGCUGAGCCUUCAUUUGACAGAGAUAGCUGUGAUUGUUAAUAGGAGCCUUCACUUCUGCCCAUUUAACUUGCCUCGGUUUGACAGCUUCACAAUAGCCACCUUCCAGCUAAAGAAAACCUUGAUUUAGUAGAAAGGGAAUGUGGGACAACAGCCUGCUCUGCCUCUCAGUCUCCAAUGGCCAGUGAUUCCAUCCUUCUCUAAGUAGAAGUUGAUGUGAGAAGGUAUCCACAAAGUGAGAUCCAGGCACUGGACUCAAACCACCAGCUCCUUUUUUUUUUUUUUAAACUGAAGACCUAAAUACUCGCCAUAGUGGUACAUCCUGGGAAUGGCUACUGAUGGACUGAAUGGGAGCCUGGGGUAAGAUCCAUACCCCACUGUUACAAGUCAGGAUAAGAGAGACUCUUUGGGCACUAGUUCAGCUGAGCAUUCAUCUUUAUCUGUUUUGGACACUUGAAAAUCCUACAUCUUCGUUAAGAUUGGACUACUUGUUCCAGUGCAAAGAUAAAACCACCCAGGCACUCACUUUUCUUGCUUGCCUCAACAUUCUGACACGUAAAUUUGAGGGAGAAAAGUGAUAUAUUGGUACGCAAAGAAAAAGGUUUUGUUUUGCUUUGCUUUGCUUUAUUUUUUAAACCCAUGACAGGGGUACAGAAGGGGAAAAUGCUUCCUUUGGAUGGGAUGUAUUCUCCUCACUCCCUGCGUCCUUUGGUAAAGGCACCUAAAUCAUUAGUGUUUGCUAAUGCAAAUGAAAGUGCCCCCUGGUGUUUCUUUCUCCUAUUAUAACAGGCCCUUUCAAUCGCUGUUUGGGACAGCCCAAAACCCAUGCGCCACAAGAGGACUUUCAUUCUUUUCAGAGCCCUUGGAAUAGAUGUGUUAUCUCACACAUAGUCUGGGUGUUUUUCCUCCUAAGGAAAAUACCAUGUUUUUGGAUUAAAAAGCUUUUCUCCAUGCCCUAGGAGGCUUCAGUUAUUUCUCUGUCUUCACUUCUCUUGGAAGCCCUCGUUCAUUUCUAAGGAAAUAAGUGUAUUCGCCCUUCCUUACAGAACUCUCUCCACCUUUGCUACAAAAUGCAUCAUUUUCAUAGUAUUUCUUCAGUCCUGUCAAAUAAAGUUAGUUCAAAUUAUUCAAUUUGAGGCUCACUCAUGUGUAGUGAAGUGCAUCUAUUUAUCUCUUCCAAGAGACUUAACACCAUCCAAGAAGGUGCAAACAAAAAUCUUUAAAACAAAGCUGAGAUCUUACCGCUAACACCCAAAAUAACUCCAUUUUAACUGCCUGAACUGUGCAGACUUCGAAUACAGGGGCAUAUUUCAUUAGAGUUUCUGCAAUUGUUCAGUUCACUUUUUCCAGUGUUUUACCUGUCAGCAGAUGACAGAGCUUGUCAGGAAAAAAAAUUACAGUUAAUGGUAGUUAAUGGUGGCGAAACUCAAUGGACUCGUUUCUAUUUUGCUUU